UUCAACCAUUCUCUCUAAUGACAAUAAGACAAUGUGGCAAACAUAUCAAGCACACCAAAGAACAAAACUGGGGAGAGAUGAGCAAGGAGACUGGAAAAACGGAACCUGGAUGCCCAAGAGGCAACUUAGAUUAGACAGGAGAAGAAAGAGAGGUUAAUCAAAGAUGGCUGAAGAUGCUUCUCCUCCGAAACUCAUAACCAAGACAAUACACCCACGCCCUUGGACAGUGAUGCUGCAUGUUACAAGAGUUUCAACUACAGGAGAUGAGCCAGACUCAACACCACAGAAAUACUCAGUGAUGCCCAAAUGCACAGAUGAAAAGAAUGCACGAUAAUGACAGGAACAGAAAAAAACUGCAAAGAUUUUAACAGCAGACCAUCUUGGCCUAGUUCACCGUCACAAGUGUUCAACGAGAAGAUAGUUUGGGGACAACAGAUUAACCAUGUACAAUGUUUAGCAUCUCAUGGGAGUAAAUAAAGUCAUAUGAAACCAAGGAUUAAGGUAAGAGAGGGAAAAUCUUGGAAGAGAAGCA